rnacentral:lncRNA from 1 species
UUGUUUUUCUCGUCUCUGAUUUCCUUUGAGCAGUGUUUUGUAAUUGUAAUUCUCAUGGUAGUGAUAUUUCCCCUCUGUGGUUAUCUUAUUCCUAGAUAUGAUGCUCAUUUACCAUUCCAACAAUCCUAGGGCACAGACAAUCACACACACACACAGGUACACACACUUACAUGGAGUCAUGCACACAGGCACACACACAUGCACACACUUGCAUACACAUACACACUAGCACACACACACACACAUAUACACACAGGCACACACACAUACACAUUACAGCAUCUAUUUUUGGCUAACAAUAAUAAAUGAGUCCAUAACACCCAACCUUUCCAGUUUCCAACCAGCUGAGGCCUGCAGAUCAUUUAUGAUGCCUUUUUCCUUCAUUCCCAAGUACUUUUUCCACAUUGAUGCCACAGGCAUUUAUUGAGUGCCCCCUGUGUGCUUGACUUCUAAGCCUAGAAGUGACUAAAGUCAAUGCGCCGGUAUCUCAUGCAGGGGGUUAUACAAGGCUGUGCCCUGCUCAGCAGCAGCAGAACCUCUGUGGGAGGUCUGAGAGGGAGGAACACUGCAGCCAGAUCCAGGACAUAUCACAGCGAGAGCAGCUGGGUGCAGAAGCCCAAGAGCCGCUCCCACGCAUGUGACCAGCUGGUUUCACCCAUGGCACAGACCUUAUCUCACCAAGCUGGCAUUGCCUGUGGGCAAAGUCAGGACCACAGCAAGUGCACAUUGUCCCUCAAAUUUCAAAGAGGUAGUGGAUUAAUGACUCAAUCUGAAAGUCUGUGCUUGUGAGCUUCCCAGAAAACAAACUUGCAGGACAAAAGAACCCACAGUGCACACUGGACCUGCUUCCUGUUCCUGCAAUGCCCCAGGUGAAAACACAGAGU